CACACACACACACACACACACACCCCUCCUCCCGAGGUUUUCCCGAAUGUAUCUACUCCGGUUACAACUAGACGCGGCCCCUCCCCCACCUCGCCUUUCCCCUUCCUCCCCUCGAUCUUGGGAGGAGCAUUCUCUGUGUCUUCCCAAGUCCCCGAGGGGGACCUUCUAUGGUGGAGUGGGGGUGGAGGGUCCUACGACGAAGACCAGAAAGAACAAAUUAGAUAAUCAAAAGAAUUAUAGUAAUUGCUUUCACUUUCCCCGAGCCCGCUCUGCGGAUGCUCUCCCCCGCCCCUUCCCUGGCUUUCUGUCUGUCGGGAAUACUCGGUCUUUCCGAUCCCCACCCCUCCCCCAGACUCCUCCUCUCCUCUCCCCUCGCUCGCGCGUUCCCUCUCUUCCUCCGUUUUCUGGUGUGCUGGAACGUUCAGCGGAAUAUGAUGAAUGAUCACCUGUCACGGCUUGUUUAUUAUAAUGCAGGCAAUCAAUUACACAUCCCCAACGCUGGCCGGCCCGCAGGAAAUUUAUAUGCUCAGCACAAACCAAUGUGAAAAUGGAAUCUCAUUUGCCAAAUGUCUUUCUCCCCGUACAGCGCGAUGAUUACAGUCUGUGUUUGUUUCAACAGUCGCGUACAACUGACAGUGCCAUCAUUUACUGCCUGGCUCAGGUCACGUUACUCUAAGGCUUUAUUUAUUGUGUUACGAUGGCCAGCACAGGAAAAGGACAAGGGUGUCUGUCAGGGAUGCCACCAUGUUAAAAAGUGGGCGGGCCGGGCCGGGUUCCCGGCGGUGGCGGGCGACACUGCAGUCUCAGCCCCUGCCCUGGGCUCUGCCUCCCCAGGCCUGCUCCCCCAGCAUCCUUCAGCGGGGGCUUCUGGGCCUCCUGGGGGGAGGCAGCUCUGGGUGUCAGACGCUCCACAGGUUCCGGGGCUCAGAUCCGAGGGACCAGCGUUGGAAUUCCGGGUCUGCUACUGCCUAAGUUGUGUGUGGCCGGGGAUUCACCCUCCUUAUCUGGAAAAUGGGAGUUUUAAUACCCUUCCUUAAUACACUCCUGGCAGAAACAUUGUGAUGUCUGAGAUAUCAGAGGUGUGGAUAAAUGUUAGUGCUGGUGACUUCAGAUCCGGCUCUGGCCGGCCUAAGGCCCACCCAUCCGGAGGCAGGGAGGAGAGGUCCCAUUAGAAGAGAGAUGUGUUGGAAUUCAUGCCCUGUGUUAAAAUCUCUCAGUCCUCUUCUUUCUGAGACUCGGCUGUCUCAAGAUCUUAAGUUUCCCUUCCGGGUGGAGUUUUGCACUUUUGUUUCCUCUGCGGGGGCACAUAGUGCGGUUUGGGGAAAAUAAAAUGAUCACUUUUGCUCUACUUCCGUCGCUAUCAUUGUAAAAGUACGCAUGCCAAUCCCAGCCCGGCCAGCUGUGUGACCUCAGGCAGGCUGGUCCCUUCACCUCUCCGAGCCUCGCAUUCCUGCCUUGCGAAGUGAAGAGUAACUUCUCAACUAUCCACCCCGGUCUUGCUGGCAGGGAUCCAGAGUGUCCAUGGGUGUAGACGGGGUCGUGCAACCUGGAGCAUGUGCUGGUCACCUCUUCCCAUGGGGAGUUCUGGUUGGUCUUAGAGGUUUUGCUGCAUAAAGAGUUGACCCAAAUUUGUAGCACUCGCAGUACGCCACAUAAAGUAGGAGAUCAGUAAUGAGGGACAGGCAGGGUCUCACAGGUGUCUUCAACUGCUCUCGUGUUGUAUCGUUCUUUAUUAUUUUGUGUAUUCAUUUAAUGGCUGUUCCCAGCAUAUAGUUUCUAUUUGGCACACCCUAAAGGAAUCAGUAAAUGUUCGUGGCGUUAAUGGAUGGAUGGAUGGAUGGAUGGAUGGAUGGAUGGAUGGAUGGCUGGCUACUUAAAUAAAUUCAUCACGAGGAAAGAAGGAAAUUCAUCACGGGCAAAGAAAUAAAUUCAUCACUGUUGUGAAAGGGAUGGGCCCUGGUGAAGGAAUAGUUCCCACUCCUGAUCUCACGGAAUCAGGCUAUUCUACACAUGCCCAGCCUUGUGUGGGUGCCCAGCGUGAUACAUACUACACGUAUUCAGACAAUGCCCACUGGUGACCGAUCACACGCACGUCCUUCAGGCUGCUCCUACUCACCCCUCACACCAACAUCCCCUGGACAAACUUCCCACCAUCCUUGCAUCCCACGUUGCCUUGAAAUCUCCGUGCUUCCCUAAAUGAUGGGCUCCUCACGGACAGGCAGCUAGACCUCAUCCCCAAAAUGCCUAGCAAGGUGGCUGCUGGAAACAGAUGCUUUUCAGUCAAUCAGUAAAGAUGAUCUUUUCUGUACGCUGAUGUAUGGAAUGCGACUUAGAAUUCCAUUAAACCAUGCCGCGUCAGGGGAAAAAAUGAUGCAGGUUCGUAUUUAAAAAGCAAAAAAAUUAACAGCUGCCUCAUAUAUUUCGGUCAAGUGCUUUGGAUUUGUAGAAGGGAUUUCUUUCUAUAAAUAUAAUUAUUAGUCGCCAUGAUUAUAGUAAUAACGGGGGCGGGGGUGGCACAGAGCUCUGCCUGCCCAGCAGGGUGGGCUCUCGGUAGAGCUGGGUAUUCCCUCUGCUGACUUGCUUCACUAGUUGACUAACAGACCUUAUUCCCUGGCCGAGCCGAUUCAUAUGCGACCAAUCAAGUACUGUGGGAUCCUGGGGGAAAAGCAGCCUGUGUUUGCUGCUGCUUUGACAGUUGAGGCUCCAAGAGGGGCUGGCAAACAAUGGGAAAUGAAACAUUUGAGUGGUUGCAAAAAAUUCCGUGGGAAAUCCCCCCUGGUGAUAUUUAUGUGCCACGGCUGUGACAAGGGGGGCUGGGGGCUUUCGAUUUCAAGGGUUCUUGAGCAGACCACAAUGGUGUUCUGAGACGGCAUUCCCCGGGAACAGCUCUCCGGAGCCACAGAAGGCCAGUCUGUCCGUCCAGGGAAUACUGGGCCACAUGCAUGAUGUUGGUUAUGAACUGCAAUGGAUUGUCAGGAGCUCACCCACAGCUGUGGGGCUCAGGCCUCUGAACCUGAACCUUCUGCUGUAAAACAAAUUCAGCUUAACUGCUCCCCUAGAUUUUCCCUAGCCUCAAGAGCCUGGGGGCUUAUAUAACUGGGGGCUGCCCUCAGGCUCAGCCCCGCCUCCCGAAUUGUGGGAACCUUAGCCCCCUGCAGACCACUCCCAUCUAAUUGAAAAAGCCAAAAUCAGGGCCUCAUGCACUCCCCGUGGCAUUUUUUCCGGGUAAUGUGUGACCUUCUUCAUUCCCAUUUGUAAUGGACAUUUAUUUGUCUGUUGCUCCCCCCACUCCCACCCUUAUUAAGAGAAUAAAGUGGACUGAUAUUAACCAGUCUUUGCUUUGCUUUUCCUAGAACUGAGACAUAUUCAAGACUGCCCACUGUUGCUAAUGUCCUGCUGCUGCUGCUGCUGUGAUAUAUGUGUUUAUAGAUCAGCUUAAAGGUGAGGUUUAUAGCUUCUUAGAAACACUUAGGGGGUAAGAAAACCGAAACUUCUGGGGAUAAAUAACUUGCCUGUGGGUAUCGGUUGGUCCUGAGGUUUCAGUUGCAAAAUGACAAGCUCCUAUCUAAAAUGGACUUAAGCCAGAUCCAAGGUGUAUUGGAUUGUUUAACUGAGAAGAAAGAGUUUUAUUAGCUUCAGGCACGGCUGGAUCUAGGCCCUCAGUGAAGUCUUCAGGAAUUUGCUUCUCUUUGGCUCUUUGGCUCUGCUUUUCCCUCUAUUGGGUUCAUUUUUAUUUUUUUUAAUAUUUCUUUAAUGUUUAUGUAUUUUUGAGAGAGAGAGAGAAGAGCAGGGGAGGGGCAGGGCGGGGGGGGGGGGGCGGUGACAGAGGAUCCAAAGCGGGCUCCAUGCUGACAGCAGAGAGCCUUAUGCAGGGCUCGAACUCACGAACCUUGAGAUCAUGACCUGAGCCAAAGUCGGACACUUAACCAACUGAGCCACCCAGGCCCCCCUGGUUUUGUUUUUAGAUGGGCUCUCUCCACCCUUUUACAUUUUCCUGAAGUCAAAUCCAAGCUUUUUCCUUGGAUGAGGGUUAGGUCCGGUGCCGUCUGAUAGGUCCAGCUGCCCGUUGCUAAAUCAAUGACUAUGGCAAGGGGGACAGAAUGAUCUGAUUGCCCAGGCCCCAGUCAUGUGCUCCCUGCCCAAGCACAGCCAAACCACAUGCAUGCAGCAAGAAUGAAUGGGUCCCCAGCGAAUACUGGACGCUUUUACCAGAAGGAGGAAUGAACACUGUCUGGGCAGGAAGACCUGAUGUCCUAUACUCCCAUGUCACGCUGUCAGGAAGGGGCAGGCCAAUCUGCCCUCUACCUUCUCCAUGCUGCGGGAGACCACCUCGAGGGCCCCCUAAUGCUCUAGCCCUCCCUGGGACUCCAGCUCAAUCCUGCCACGUGAAUUCAUGCUGGUCGGCAGUUUUCAAAAUGUGCAUCUUGGGAGCUUGCGGGAGGGAGGAAGAGAGUGGAGGGGAGGCCAAGAGGAUGGGUGAUAGAACUCAGAGGCUGUGCCUACAGGACCCCUCCUUCUGCCCCUAGUUCAACCACGCGGCAAUCAAUUCUUGUGUCCGUUCGUACCUUCCGUUCCCUUGUACGCUCUCAAUUCAAGAAACAGCUCCUCGUAUUUUUUUUUCCAACGUUUUUUUUAUUUAUUUUUGGGACAGAGAGAGACAGAGCAUGAACAGGGGAGGGGCAGAGAGAGAGGGAGACACAGAAUCGGAAACAGGCUCCAGGCUCCGAGCCAUCAGCCCAGAGCCCGACGCGGGGCUCGAACUCACGGACCGCGAGAUCGUGACCUGGCUGAAGUCGGACGCUUAACCGACUGCGCCACCCAGGCGCCCCAAGCUCCUCGUAUUUUUAAGGCUUGAAAGUCAAGUGAUUUUUCCACAACGCUUGCCCUCUCCCUCAUUCAUAAAUGAGGAACAACGGCUCAGAAAGAGGCGGGAACUUGACCAAGGCCAUGCAGCAGGACAGUGCAGAGCGAGUCCGAGAAAUCACGCCUCUGGAUGCCCACCAUCUCCUGCCCUUCCCACCUGCAGGGCUGCAGGUGGGUUAGAGAUCCGUGGGCUGAGACCACCACAUGCACCCCCGCCACACAGGGCUGAUUUAUUAGCCAAAGAGGCAGAUCUUAACACUAAUGCAGCAGUUUCCAGAGCAGAGCAGAAAGAGGGAAGCUUUUUGAAGCUUUUUUUCUAGUCUCUGGGCACAGGCAGCCACGGGGGACUCGCUUUGUAGGUAGGAUCCUACCAGAAGGGAGAACAACAGCCAGAUUCCCGCUACUCCCUCCUCAUUCGGGGGGCUUACAUCACCGUUCCAGAAGAACCUUCGUGAGUAAGCCAUGUGCUUCUGUUCAGGAUGUUUACAAACAACUAACUGUUCUGCUUUGCGCUCCAGGGUCUGGGGAGCUGGUCUCCUGGCACCGGCCCUGCCCCAUAUUUCAAACACACCUUUGUGCAGCAAGGGCCACUGCUAAUCAUCAACUAACCCUUCUGAGUGCUUAGUUGUUCCCGGAACUGUGUGCUAAGUGCUUGACAGGUAUCAUGUCAUUAAAUCCUCCCGUAGGUACUAUUGUUACCCUCAUUUUACAGGAGGAGACAGAGGUGCAGAGGGAUGAAUUAAUUUCUUCAAGGUCCUCAGAGAGCUUCAAACUCAGGCAAUCGGAGUCAAGCGCGUGAGCUCUUAGGUACCUUCCUACGCAGGACGCGUGGCGAGCGCUUCGGACAAGAGGUAGACUGUCACCACACCGGCGCACAGACAGACAGAAAGUUCCCUGCUUCCUUCAUUCAGUCCCUUCCUUCUACCACCCAGGGGCUUCUGGCGGAGUCUGAGGAGCUCUGGGUUUCCCUUUCUCCUUUUCUCCCACACUCUCUGCCCCGUGGCUUCAGCAAACACGCACAGGGGAUUCCAGGGAGAGAACUAUUAUAUUACUGAGUGGGCACGGCUCAUAAGGCGCCAGCGGAACACGGGUAAGUCAGGUACAGAGAGGCACGCGGUCUCAUUACUUAGCCUACCUUGCAGCAGCUUAUUGAAUUAGUGCGAUUCGUAACAUCUUCAACUUGGAUCUCCUCCAGGCCAGCCAGCUGGUGCAUUCAGUACUACUCAGCUCGCCUUAACUCAAUUAACUAAGCCGGGCUGAGCCGGGCUGAGCUGAACUCAACAAGUAUUUCUUAAGCACUGAGCUGGCUGCAGGGGGAAAAAAAAAAACAAAAAAAGAAAAAAAGAAAAAAAA
rnacentral:lncRNA from 1 species